rnacentral:rRNA from 1 species
AUUGAACGCUGGCGGCAGGCCUAACACAUGCAAGUCGAACGGUAGCACAGAGAGCUUGCUCUCGGGUGACGAGUGGCGGACGGGUGAGUAAUGUCUGGGAAACUGCCCGAUGGAGGGGGAUAACUACUGGAAACGGUAGCUAAUACCGCAUAACGUCGCAAGACCAAAGUGGGGGACCUUCGGGCCUCACACCAUCGGAUGUGCCCAGAUGGGAUUAGCUAGUAGGUGGGGUAAUGGCUCACCUAGGCGACGACCCCUAGCUGGUCUGAGAGGAUGACCAGCCACACUGGAACUGAGACACGGGCCAGACUCCUACGGGAGGCAGCAGUGGGGAAUAUUGCACAAUGGGCGCAAGCCUGAUGCAGCCAUGCCGCGUGUAUGAAGAAGGCCUUCGGGUUGUAAAGUACUUUCAGCGGGGAGGAAGGCGGUGAAGUUAAUAACUUCACCGAUUGACGUUACCCGCAGAAGAAGCACCGGCUAACUCCGUGCCAGCAGCCGCAGUAA